rnacentral:lncRNA from 1 species
GGGGACACCUGCAGCAGUGACACGGAGAAAAACACAGAAAAAAUCUAAAGUCUCCAAGACGUCAAAGAGCCGAGGCUCGAGAACCAGAGCCCAGAAGAGGAAAGCAUACGUUAAGAAGCCACGCGUCGUCUUCCUGAAGACCUACCAUCACAGCCUCCCCAUGGGGGACAUGAAGCCGCUGGAUAUAACUGACCAGUUGGUCUGGUUCGAGGGGCUCCCCACGCGCAUACACAUUCCAGGACGCCGGAUCAUGUGCAGAUCGUCUGCCUUACGCUGCUUCAAGCGUUCCUGUACCCGUUUCUGUUCUGCAUCACUUUGAGCUGCCUAUGCACCAUCCAUACAAGGUGGUGUGACCCUGGAUGGGAACUUGAAGUGUAAAAGAAGUAGAGAUCCUGCUAUCUAUCAGCUUAGUGGAAGGGAUAGGCAAGAAAGUCGCAAGUCUACAAAUAAAAUCUCCCCUAUGAC